rnacentral:rRNA from 1 species
UACAGAGGGUGCAAGCGUUAAUCGGAAUUACUGGGCGUAAAGCGUGCGUAGACGGUUAUGUAAGUCAGAUGUGAAAGCCCCGGGCUCAACCUGGGAAUUGCAUUUGAGACUGCAUAGCUAGGGUGCGGAAGAGGGAAGCGGAAUUUCCGGUGUAGCGGUGAAAUGCGUAGAUAUCGGAAGGAACACCAGUGGCGAAAGCGGCUUCCUGGUCUGUAACUGACACUGAGGCGCGAAAGCGUGGGGAGCAAACAGG